ACGCAGCCCCACACGCAACAAACUGUGAUGCACUGUGUGUUCUGACAUUUUUCUAUCAGUACCAGCAUUAACUUUUAUUGGAUCGGACCACACGGGCCAGCCUUCACUCCCCACGUCCAUCAGUGAGCCUUGACCGCCCAUGACCCUGUCGCUGGUUCACCGCUUUUCCUUCCUUGGACCACUUUUGUUAGGUACUGACCAUUGCAGACCAGGAACACCCCACAAGGGCUGCAGUUUUGGAGAUGUUCUGACCCAGUCAUCUAGCCAUCACAAUUUGGCCCUUGUCAAUUUGACCAUUUUUCCAGCUUCUAACACAUCAACUUUGAGGACAGAAUGUUCACUUGCUGCCUAAUAUAUCCCACCCACUAACAGGUGCCAUGAUGUGAAAUUAUCAGUGUUAUUCACUUCACCUGUCAGUGGUCAUAAUGUUAUGGCUGAUCAGUUUAUAAUCUAUAUUGCAUAAAUUAGAGUUUAUUAAAUGUGUGUUAAAUAUGUAGGUUUGUAUAUAGGUAAUACAUACUGGAUACCUUGCCUAGGAGUUAGGGAAACAUGCGGUUAGGACAUAAUGGGGACUCGCCAGCUAUACCUUGUACUCCAUUUGGCCUCAGGCCCAUAUAUGGUUGUUCUUUAGUUUGUCUUCUAUGAUCCUAUGACUUGCAGCAUUAAGAUGAGAACCAGAUGUUAGAAGAAUAUAUGAGGGACCCUCAAAGUGUGUGUCUUUGUCAUACCUAAGAACGUGCUCAUGAGUGUGCUUUGUCUGUGUAUCACCUACAAGCUUGUAAUAAACUAUUAGAAUUAAAGUGUUGGUUUCCUGGGGUACUUCUAUUUGAGAAAUUAGAAUAAAGUGGACUAAUUGGUCAGCGUGUGCAAAUGAGUGCAAAUGAGUGCAAAUCCCUGCAUGUCUGAAGAAGCCACAUUUUAUUUAUGGGUAUGCUUACUUUUUUUUUUAUUAAUAAAACGCGCUCUGGUACUGUACUCCCUACCUGCCUCUUAGUCGCUGCUGAGUUUAGAGUCAAAAAAAUAAAUGAAGGUCCCAUUAACUGCAGGGGGAAUUGUGUGCCACUGCAUCUCAUUGAUUUUAUCGACCCAUUUUGUAACUAAGGACGUUGUUUGAGAACAAACAACAUGAUUGUUGUUAAAUAAAUUAUAAAACACUAUAAGCAUGGAAUGAACAAAGUAACAUGCAUUUAAUUACCCUAAAUACAGCAUAUUUGUCUGGGGGAUUCAACCAGUGUUUUCUGUAAAGGAGUGACGUGGGUAAUAAAUGACAAUAUCGAAAAAGAGAAGCACCACGUACCAAUGUGUUUGUAGGUCUAGACCUCAUACUCAAGUUUCAUUCAGGGCAAUGAUGUUUGUAAGGCUGGCCAGAAGACUGACUAAACAGUUCGCAUUAGGUCAUUUGUUGUGUUAUGGAGAUCUUAUAAGACAUGUUGGAUGUCAAAUGAAGCUGUGUUGUAGAAUGGUCAGUGUCUGACCAUGGCUUCAGUGAGGGGACAGUUCUAUACAGGAUGGUGUCUUUGGUGUGCAGGAUAAUUAAUUCAUUACUGGCAGCAAGUGCUAUGUCAUUAUAAACAGAGAAUAGGGUCGGCCCAAGAACAUACUGCUUCAUUUUAGAAACUAAGUCAGUCAUUUCUACCUCCAGACAUUAGUGAGUCUGCCUCCCUUUAUGAAAAAGAAUUACCGUCAGUAAGGGGCG
ensembl:lncRNA